CUCCCCGGCCCCGCCGAGCACCGCCCGGGCCGGCCGCGCCGUCGGGGCGAGCAGAGGAGGAGGAGGACGAGGAAGAAGGAGGAGGAGGAGGAAAGAUCAAGUCUGGCACAGACCACAGAAACUGUCAACAACCCUGCCAAAAGAGCACAAAUACCACACCACCUAAAAAAGAAUUAGAGCUGCCAACAACGGAUCCAAGGAAUGAACAAGUAGACUGAAUUACUGCUCAUCUGUUUUGGGAAAGUUUGGAGCUGAGGGAAGGAAAUCUGCAACUCCAUCACCUGUAGGAGAGCACCAAGGGAUGAGGGUACAUGAAAUGGUAUGGACACUUCUCUUCAGUAUCACUCUAUUCAGUGUAGACCAAGAGGAAAUUUUAUUGAUUUGGUAUACUUUGGGGACUUGGUUACAGGUUGUAUAAUACUACUGUGAGAAACUAUUUUUAUUCUCAAGUAUACAUGACUACUUAUGACUACUUCUGUGCUAUGAGCUAACUACACAGGAACAGCAAAGACUUUUCUGGUUGAAAGAAAGGAAAUCCCAGUCUCUGCCCCACACAUGUUCACCAUAAUUGCCAUCUGUGUAUAAAAAUAUUUGCUUGGUUUGACUGAAUGUAUGUGUGUACUUCUCACAGAACACAGUAACAUCAACCAAAAUAAUACCUUGCAUGAAGCCAGAGAGUAUAACGCAUCAAAUGUUGCCCAAAUAUAAAACUGCAAUUCAGCAAGCAAAUAAACACACACCAACCUAGUGACUUAUCAAAAAUAAAAUACAUUCUCCUUAAAUGCAACCACAAAGGUGUAAUCUGGUCGUUGUAUUAGAACACAUACAUCAAAAAAGUACAUGCCAUAGCUUCCACGGUAAACUGGCUCUAUGAGAGUUUGGCACAUGUUUUCCUUUCCUGUGUUGCCUACCACCAUGGACUGAGAACUAUUUUUACAGAGAUUUCCAUUAGUUCAUACAAGCUAAAUACUCAUUUAGGACAUUCCCCUCAUUUAAGUCCACCAAUGUUCAUUAUGUAUUUUCUUUCAAAUAUCUAUCUAAACACUAUUGAUAAUACUUGCUUCUCUGUUGUCUUCACUCUGGAAGCUGUUUCAUAUUAAGAACCAAUUGCAAAGAAGCAAUUCUUCCUCAAUUCUUUUCAUACAUGCCACUUCUCAGAUCUUGCUCACAACUCCUUGAUUUCUGCCCUAGACAGGUUCAAAAAGCCUUUAAAGACCCAUUCUUUCAAUUCCCUUAAAAAUUACACACAUAUUGAGUGGAAUCCCUCUUACCUCAGCAGAAUCCCCUUCUUUCCUAAAGAACACAGACCUAGUUAUUUUGUGUAACUGAAACCCUUGAAUUACUGCAUUAUUCUAACUGUCCUUUGCUCUGCUGUAACUUUUCUUCCUGCGUUUUCCCACUUUUAAAAUAACAUGCAUUCCUUACACAGACCUAAAAUUAUUUCCCCACAGCUAUUCCUGAAAUUUUAAAGUGUUUAUUUGCAGUUUAAUACAAACAGUAUUUAUACAACACCUUUCAUAAAAAAAAAAAAAAAAAAAAAAAAAACUUAACACUUUAAGUUAAAUUUUACUGUAUGUCUGUGAAACCCCUCUUUAUUUACAACUUUAUUCCUUCUGGGUAAGAUUAUACCCAUGUUACAGAACCAGAAUCUGAGGCAGUGGUGAUCACAAAGAUGAUGGGCACGGCUUCACCCUUGGCUGAAUCUGAUCUGGGCUGCUCCUCAGAAGGAAGGCACUCCCUGCUUUCUCCUCCCUCAUCGUGUGUCCCUACAAACAGGGCUCCCAUAGCCAUGCCACUUGCCAAAUUAGGGGAUGGAUCCAGGUGAAAAUAAACAUCUUCUCUUUUGUUAGGUUGCUUUUCAGCUGGAACUAUUGCUUAGUUCAGCUGAUCAUGCCACCACACAGGCAGUUACUGGUGGUGUCACCACGAGGCAGGGAAAUAGCAUGGUCAGGGCAAAAGUAUAGCUCCCACUCCUUUCAACACUACCUUUAACUUAAACGUGCUUUGGAUCAUUGUACAACUGCAGCCAUAAAUUAGACAUAGGUAAGACAGCUGCUCUAAGAGUCACUAAUACACAAUGGUCUCAAGUUUUGCUCACCUGCUUUACUUCUGUCUUAUCUCCUGUCUCUUAUUCCAGCUUCUUGUCCCUUGUGCUGAUGCUAAGGCACAUCCGACCGCACAAGUGAAUCAACACAUUACCCCUCAGAAACCUAAACCAACAAAAAAUGUAUACUUUUUUUUUUUUUUUUUCCUGAUGGUUUAAUGAAUUUGAGUCAGCUUAACAAAGUGCUAAUUCAUAGGCAAGACAAGGGCUCCAGAGCUGGGAAGCUGGAGCAGGAAAGGAGAAAUAUCUCCUCUUUCCAGCAAGGAGUGACCCCUUAGACCAGCACAGAUCUCAUAUAACUCUCCACUAAAUGAAUUCUGUAAGAGACGCAGCUACUGAGUUGUGAGAAUUAACCCACAAAUACUACUCAUGUAGUGCUGUGCUUGCAAACACUUUGGACCUUUAUCUCAACAGCCUUAAAGACCAUUUGUCUUGCUCAUUGUUUGCCAGUAUUUGCUGACUUCCCAUUUUCUUUCUCAAUCUCUUAGUUCUUAAUAUCUUUCAAUUCACCUAUAAAGCUCCACUGAGUGUUUACUGACUCCCACAUUCCCGUUACCCAAACUCUGAAUCACACUGUUCUCUGUGCACUAAUCCCCUUCAUCUUCAUAAACUCUUUAACCUUUCACCCAAAUUCUUCAAAACUUUUCUCACAGUACAAAUGUUGUCCUCCUUUUAACUUUUUCUUCACUUAACUUUCCACUUAUGACCAUGUCCUUCAUUAACAUAUCCCUGAAUUGCCAGCCUUCCCCCGUUAACUUCCAGGAGAUUCAGUUUGCUUUCUCCACCAGGAAAGAAGGGCUACCUCUCUCCAGAUCCAAUAAUGGGCAGUGAUUGUACCACUGGACUUAACUUGCAGGAAACAGAAUCCCAUCCCCACAGCUUGAGACAUACAAAUCAACAGAGACCAUACAGCUACUGACUGUUAAAUUCAGUGUCACAGAGAACUGUCAUAAUCUAGCAUUUACCUCCAUUAUCAAGUGUUUUACAAAAAUCACAGCAUAAGUUUUAACCUGGAUUUCACCUUCUGUCUAUUAGCACUCCAUUUUAUAUUCUUAUCUAACUAGACUGUCUUAAUAGAUAAUGUUGGAUGAAAAAAAAAAAAAAAACACAUAUAAAAAGGCACAGAACGGGAGCUCAUCAAUAUUCUCAGGAGAAAAAUUUGAUUCAUCAUGGUUCUGAGUGUCCAAAAGUCCAAUGCUAUUAAUGUGAGCAAGAGUACCAGCUAAGCAGUAAAUAAAUGUCAUGUCUCAACAGCAAUAUGCCCCACUGAUUUGAACAAAGUUUAAGCAUCAUGCUAUAGCUCUGCUUUCAUGAAUCAGAGCCACUUUACAGCAACGCUUCUCUAGGAAACAGUAUAUUAUGUAUUGCCUAUAUGGCAAAACCAUACACACAAAAGCAUUCAUGAAAGACCCUCAGCUUUGCUGCCUAAAGAAUUAAUGAGAACUACACAAUUACAUAGACAUAUUUGCAGGCCUGAUCAGAGAACAAAUUGUACAUUUCUUUAAAAUAAGAAAAGCAACCUUCCUUAUUUUCAGUACAAGGAUAGAAUAUAUUUCACAAUUUUAGGACUUCUUUUCAUUAUUGGGGCACAUCUGGUUUACCACACUUUCUUACACAAAUGGUCAUUCAAAGAAAGAAACUCACAAGGAGAAUGUAGUCCCUAUCUUUGGGACCUUUCAUGUUUUUUAACAUUUGGUUAAGAAGCUUCCAAAAGCCAAUUUUAAUACAUUACUACUAAGGGAACAAAUUGGCCAUCCUGUCAACAAAGAACACCAAGAAGAUGACCAGUCUUGUUACAAGAUGGGCAAAGAUGAAAUGUGAUGAAUAUGCAGCUGAUGAAGGAAAUGCAUAGUGAAAACUUUUCAGGAUGGUACUCAGUCUGCGAGCAGAGGGCUCUGCAUUGCCAGCUGCCAGAGCUCAAACAAAGCCUUUGAUGAAAUCACAACUACCCUUGUCUCAGUUUCAAAAAAAAAAAAAAAAAAAAAAAAAAAAAAAAAAAGAGACUGAGGACAGUUUAAUUAUCUCAGAACCAUUACCAUCAGCAGCAGUUUCAUAAUCUUGAAAUGCUGCCAUUCUCAAAAGCCAUUUGCCUGGAAAAAAAAAAAAAAAAUCCUUAAAACACAAGAGACUGUCAUACUGUCCAAACAAUAGAGCAAUUCUUAUACAAUCAGACGCCAUAACUAAUUAUACAAAACAAAAACAAACCACCACCACCCCCACCUAUUAUUUUUAAACAAGGGAACAAAGGAUGUAAAUUUUAUCCAGAAAUAUUAGAUUUUAAAAGGAGUAAAAAUAUC